rnacentral:rRNA from 1 species
CACGGGGGGAGCAAGCGUUGUUCGGAAUCACUGGGCGUAAAGGGCGUGUAGGCGGUCUGGUAAGUGGGAUGUGAAAGCCCCCGGCUCACCCGGGGAUCUGCAUUCCAUACUGCCAGACUUGAGUAUGGGAGAGGACAGGGGAAUUCCUGGUGUAGCGGUGAAAUGCGUAGAUAUCAGGAGGAACACCGGUGGCGAAAGCGAGGUGCUGGACCCUUUCUGACGCUGAGGCGCGAAAGCCAGGGGAGCAAACGGG